CGGUUGACCAUGGUGUGUACG
rnacentral:miRNA from 4 species